rnacentral:rRNA from 1 species
CCUACGGGAGGCAGCAGUCGAGAAUCAUUCACAAUGGGGGAAACCCUGAUGCAGCGACGCCGCGUGAGCGAUGAAGUAUUUCGGUAUGGAAAGCUCUAGCAGCAGGGAAGAAAAUGACGGUACCUGACUAAGAAGCCACGGCUAACUACGUGCCAGCAGCCGCGGUAAUACGUAGGGGGCAAGCGUUAUCCGGAUUUACUGGGUGUAAAGGGAGCGUAGACGGCGGUGCAAGCCAGAUGUGAAAGCCCGGGGCUCAACCCCGGGACUGCAUUUGGAACUGUGCUGCUAGAGUGUCGGAGAGGCAGGCGGAAUUCCUAGUGUAGCGGUGAAAUGCGUAGAUAUUAGGAGGAACACCAGUGGCGAAGGCGGCCUGCUGGACGAUGACUGACGUUGAGGCUCGAAAGCGUGGGGAGCAAACAGGAUUAGAUACCCCUGUAGUC